GGCAACACCCCUUACCAUUUCGAACAGGAAGGUUAAGUUCCACAGUGCCCAUGGUACUGCAGGGGAGGCCCUGUGGGAGAGCAGGUCG
rnacentral:rRNA from 1 species